rnacentral:misc_RNA from 1 species
GAUGAAGAACGUAGCGAAAUGCGAUACGUAAUGUGAAUUGCAGAAUUCAGUGAAUCAUCGAAUCUUUGAACGCAUAUUGCGCUCUCUGGUAUUCCGGAGAGCAUGCUUGUUUGAGUAUCAGUAAACACCUCAACUCCCUUUUCUUUUUUGAAAUUGGAGCUGGACUUGAGUGAUCCCAACGCUUUCUUCCAAGAAAGUGGCGGGUUGCUUGAAAUGCAGGUGCAGCUGAACUUUUCUCUGAGCUAUAAGCACAUCUAUUUAGUCUGCCUAAAAAACAGAUUAUUACCUUUGCUGCAGCUAACAUAAAGGAGACUAGUUCUUGUGCUGACUGAUGCAGGAUUCACAGAGACAGCUUCGGCUGACUUUGUAAACUCGAUCUCAAAUCAAGUAAGACUACCCGCUGAACUUAAGCAUAUCAAUAAGCGGAGGA